rnacentral:lncRNA from 1 species
GAGGGGGGCUCGAUAGGCCUCGAGCUUUUUGGAGAUUUCGAGGUCAUCCCUUUCCAGGCUAGAAGCCCGAUGGAUGGAAUCCCUCAGAGAGCCCCAAGGGGAUAAUCCUAGCUCCAAGGUUGGGCAUCGAACAUAGAAGUACCUUUCCUUCCAGUUGUGGAUAGAAGAAGGGGUGCCUUUCAGCAACCCCUUUCUACCGAACU